CAGGAAAGAGACCAUUGCUUAAGGAUGUGGACUCUCCUGCUAUUUCUCCUGGGCCAAGGCUCUGUGUUCGGUGUCCUCCUCUACCAAAAGCCAAAACAGGACAUCUGUCAAAGUGGCACCUCCCUGAAAAUCCAGUGUGAGGUUGACACUCAAGUUGCUGGGAUGUUCUGGUACAGACAGUUCCAGGGACAGAGCUUGGUGCUCAUGGCAGCUGCAAAUCAAGGCUCAGAAGCCACAUAUGAGAGCGGAUUCACCAACGAGAAGUUUCCUAUCAGCCGCCCAAACCUAACAUUCUCAACUUUGACCGUGAACAAUGCAAGACCUGAAGACAGCAGCUUCUAUUUCUGCAGCUCUGGAGACACAGCGCUGGAUGCAAAUGAGAGAUCUCAGCAAGAACCCCCUCUCCCCACACCCAGAUCUCCCCAGAUGAGCCAGAGCCAAUGUACUCAGUAUGAAAACCACAGCUGCUGA